rnacentral:rRNA from 1 species
AGAGUUUGAUCCUGGCUCAGGAUGAACGCUAGCUACAGGCUUAACACAUGCAAGUCGAGGGGAAACGAUAUUGGAAGCUUGCUUCCGAUAGGCGUCGACCGGCGCACGGGUGAGUAACGCGUAUCCAACCUGCCCAUCACUUGGGAAUAACCUUGCGAAAGUAAGACUAAUGCCCAAUGACAUUUAUAGAAGGCAUCGGAAAUGAAUUAAAGAUUUAUUGGUGAUGGAUGGGGAUGCGUCUGAUUAGCUUGUUGGCGGGGUAACGGCCCACCAAGGCGACGAUCAGUAGGGGUUCUGAGAGGAAGGUCCCCCACAUUGGAACUGAGACACGGUCCAAACUCCUACGGGAGGCAGCAGUGAGGAAUAUUGGUCAAUGGGCGAGAGCCUGAACCAGCCAAGUAGCGUGCAGGAUGACGGCCCUAUGGGUUGUAAACUGCUUUUAUAGGGGAAUAAAGUGAGCCACGUGUGGUUUUUUGCAUGUACCCUAUGAAUAAGGACCGGCUAAUUCCGUGCCAGCAGCCGCGGUAAUACGGAAGGUCCGGGCGUUAUCCGGAUUUAUUGGGUUUAAAGGGAGCGUAGGCCGGAGAUUAAGCGUGUUGUGAAAUGUAGAUGCUCAACAUCUGCACUGCAGCGCGAACUGGUUUCCUUGAGUACGCAUAAAGUGGGCGGAAUUCGUGGUGUAGCGGUGAAAUGCUUAGAUAUCACGAAGAACUCCGAUUGCGAAGGCAGCUCACUGGGGCGCAACUGACGCUGAAGCUCGAAAGCGCGGGUAUCGAACAGGAUUAGAUACCCUGGUAGUCCGCGCGGUAAACGAUGGAUGCCCGCUGUUGGGCCAACUGGUUCAGCGGCCAAGCGAAAGCAUUAAGCAUCCCACCUGGGGAGUACGCCGGCAACGGUGAAACUCAAAGGAAUUGACGGGGGCCCGCACAAGCAGUGGAUUAUGUGGUUUAAUUCGAAGCAACGCGAAGAACCUUACCGGGUCUUGACAUCCAACUAACGAGAUAGAGAUAUGUCAGGUGCCCUUCGGGGAAAGUUGAGACAGGUGGUGCAUGGUUGUCGUCAGCUCGUGUCGUGAGAUGUUGGGUUAAGUCCCGCAACGAGCGCAACCCCUGCCAUUAGUUGCUACGCAAGAGCACUCUAAUGGGACCGCUACCGACAAGGUGGAGGAAGGUGGGGACGACGUCAAAUCAUCAUGCCCCUUAUGACCUGGGCUACACACGUAAUACAAUGGCCGUUAGCAGAGGGAAGCAAAACCGCGAGGCAGAGCAAAACCCUAAAAACGGUCCCAGUUCGGAUCGCAGGCUGCAACCCGCCUGCGUGAAGUUGGAAUUGCUAGUAAUCGCGGAUCAGCAUGCCGCGGUGAAUACGUUCCCGGGCCUUGUACACACCGCCCGUCACACCAUGGGAGUUUGUAACACCCGAAGUCAGUAGCCUAACCGCAAGGAGGGCGCUGCCGAAGGUGGGAUAAGCGACUGGGGUGAAGUCGUAACAAGGUA